CAUUGAAACACUGGUUCUCAUACAAUCACUAAGGUUAAGCACCAAUGAGCCUGGUCAGUAUUUAAAUGGGUGACCACUUGGGAAUAUCAGGUGCUGUAAG